rnacentral:snRNA from 1 species
AUACCAGCACUAAUGCAC